UGACCCUCCGUUGGACUCUCUUUAUUGUUUUCUACCUACACCUCUUUUUCCAGUUAAUGUUUAAGAACUAUUGUAUAGUCAGCUAUUGUCAUACUUUGUGAGUCAGUUUCUGAGAUCUAAACGGGACGGACGGACAAACAGACAGACGGACAGACACGCCACACAAAACUAAUAGCGUCUUUUUCCCUUUCGGGGGCCGCUAAAAACACAAUUAAGUUCAGCAAAGGAGAUUAACUCUGCCAAGCUUGAUGAUUGCAAAGAGAGGAACAUGCCAGGAAGAGUUCAUCCCCGUGUCUGCCUUUCUCUCUCAACCUAGAAAUGAAUUUAAACGUCAAGAUAUCAGCUGGCAGAUACAUUAACUGAAUGAGGAGAGACGGCUGCAUCUAUAGGAACAAAACAUUUUAAUAUUUGAAACAUUCUACUUGAGAAAAGAAAGGAUAGACAUUCAAUGCUUAUUUGUUGUUGUUGUUUUAAUAAUGUGAUGCUUAAUAAAAAUAUGAUGAUUUAA